UAACUACUCCCUUCGUUUGAAAACACUUGUCGGGGAAUAAAAAUGAAUGUAUCUAAAACUAAAAUACAUCUUGAUACAUCAAUUUUUUUGAUAAGUAUUUUCGGACGGAGGGAGUAUGUU
rfam:Triticum aestivum genome assembly, contig: Triticum_aestivum_CS42_TGACv1_scaffold_061871_1DL